GUGGGCCACCGACAAUGAGGCGCUGGAGAGGGCCUUUUCUCAGUAUGGUGAGAUCAUCGAAUCGAAGGUCCGUUUGACGGAGAGAUCGGAUCUGACCCGAUUCGGCCUCGGCCAUCUGGCGUUCUGUUCUUCUCUCUGAUCUGAUUCUGUUUCUCUAUGUGUUACUUGAUCUAUGAUUCUCUGUUACUGUCUAUGAUUCUUAUUAUUACUCUCACAAGAUCGGGUACGUUCAUCUCAAUCUUUCUCUCCCAAAGAUUGAAGAUCGAUCGGUUCCUUUUUUUUGUUAUUGCCUUUUAAUUUUUGUUGUAAUUACUGCGUGGAUUUGUGGCUCUAAUGCGAUCCUGGUCUGUGUUUUCAGAUCAUCAACGACCGUGAGACUGGGAGGUCCAGGGGCUUCGGCUUCGUCACCUUCGGCAACGAGCAGGCUAUGAGGGAUGCAAUCGAAGCCAUGAACGGCCAGAACCUCGACGGCCGCAACAUCACCGUCAAUGAGGCUCAGUCUCGCGGAUCUGGAGGAGGCGGUGGCGGAGGAGGCUACAGCCGCGGAGGAGGCGGUGGUGGAUACGGAGGCAGUGGCGGGUACGGAGGCGGUGGUCGUCGUGAAGGCGGCGGAGGUGGCUACAGCCGUGGAGGUGGCGGUGGUGGAUAUGGCGGUGGCGGUGGUGGAUAUGGCGGUGGUCGUCGUGAGGGAGGAUACGGAGGUGGUGAGGGUGGCUAUUCCAGGGGUGGGGGUGGAGCUGAGGGCGGCAGCUGGAGAAGUUAAAUUAGGGUUAAGAUAGAGUAUUUGGGGCUCUGGAAUGUGUGAUCUCUCUGGUUAUGUGUUAGGGUUAGGGUUUGGAUCAGGUAGUUGGUUUGUCUGUCUGCGAUGGUGGUGGUGUCGGUGUCUCUUUCUGUUGUCGAUAAUUUUGAUCGAUGAAGGUGGUUCUAUGUUACUUUCCGAUGUAUUUGCGGUUCCCAAAAGAGAAAAAUAUGGUGUUUGAGAAAUGAAGUAUCUCUGUUUUACUUUAAUUUUCGUUAAUCUGCGGCAAUUAAUUUUGAGUUGUGAAAAUAUUGGUAAAAACGGAUUAUACCAACCUAUUGUAAUUAAGCAUAUUCUCAUGGACUCGUUAAUAUGUCAAUUAA
rnacentral:lncRNA from 1 species